GACGAACGCUGGCGGCGUGCUUAACACAUGCAAGUCGAACGGUAAGGCCCCUUCGGGGGUACACGAGUGGCGAACGGGUGAGUAACACGGGGGUAAUCUGCCCUGCACUUCGGGAUAAGCCUGGGAAACCGGGUCUAAUACCGGAUAUGAACUCCUGCCGCAUGGCGGGGGUUGGAAAGUUUUUCGGUGCAGGAUGAGCCCGCGGCCUAUCAGCUUGUUGGUGGGGUAAUGGCCUACCAAGGCGACGACGGGUAGCCGGCUUGAGAGGGUGAGCGGCCACACUGGGACUGAGACACGGCCCAGACUCCUACGGGAGGCAGCAGUGGAGAAUAUUGCACAAUGGGCGAAAGCCUGAUGCAGCGACGCCGCGUGGGGGAUGACGGUCUUCGGAUUGUAAACCCCUUUCAGUAGGGACGAAGCGCAAGUGACGGUACCUGCAGAAGAAGCACCGGCUAACUACGUGCCAGCCGCCGCCGUAAAAC
rnacentral:rRNA from 1 species